rnacentral:lncRNA from 1 species
AUGAGAGGCCUGUCCUGGUGGUAGGGCUAGGAGCACGGUUCAAAGGGUGCUGCUGGAGCUGUCCAAGGGGUGGCCAUUCUUCGGGGAAUGAGCUGAAACCACCCGGCCCUGCCUUGGGUGCAGCCUGCUCUGUAUCCCAGGUGUGCUGAGCGUAGAGCGAGAAGGAUCCUUGAGUCACCCCUGCCUGCUCCCAAGCAGCAGUCUUCGGAGGAGGAGAUCAGGACCCAGACGCACAUCGAGGGACCACCAUGUGCAGACACAGAGAGAAAGCAGCAUCUGCAAGCCAUGGACAGAGGCCUCAGAAGAAACCAGCCCACUGACACCUUGGUCUCCAGCAUCCAGCCUCCAGAACUGUGAGAAAAUACAUUUCUAUUGUCUAA